rfam:Gossypium hirsutum cultivar TM-1 chromosome 5, whole genome shotgun sequence
UGUAAAAAAUUUCAUCCACUUUUACAGUUAAAAACUGGCAUGACUAAUAGAAUAACUAGACUGUUACACGUGACGUGCCACAUGUAUCUUAUUUUAACAUACAAUGACCAGAUUUAAACAGUAAAAUUGGAUGGAAUUUUUAACA